rfam:Spiribacter curvatus strain TAH-SP71, complete genome.
CUAGCGCAGGUGGGAGAGUCCGGCAUUCGAUGCCGGCGCCGAAGGAGCAACCGCCCCGGAAUCUCUCAGGCCAACGGACCGUCUGCGUGGU